rnacentral:rRNA from 1 species
CGCGGCCUAUCAGCUUGUUGGUGAGGUAAUGGCUCACCAAGGCUUCGACGGGUAGCCGGCCUGAGAGGGCGACCGGCCACACUGGGACUGAGAUACGGCCCAGACUCCUACGGGAGGCAGCAGUGGGAAAUAUUGCACAAUGGGCGCAAGCCUGAUGCAGCAACGCCGCGUGCGGGAUGACGGCCUUCGGGUUGUAAACCGCUUUCAGUAGGGACGAAGCUAACGUGACGGUACCUACAGAAGAAGGACCGGCUAACUACGUGCCAGCAGCCGCGGUGAUACGUAGGGUCCGAGCGUUGUCCGGAAUUAUUGGGCGUAAAGGGCUUGUAGGCGGUCCGUCGCGUCAGGAGUGAAAACUCGGGGCUUAACCCCGAGCCUGCUUUUGAUACGGGCGGACUAGAGGGAUGCAGGGGAGAACGGAAUUCCUGGUGGAGUGGUGGAAUGCGCAGAUAUCAGGAGGAACACCGGUGGCGAAGGCGGUUCUCUGGGCAUCACCUGACGCUGAGAAGCGAAAGCGUGGGGAGCAAACAGGCUUAGAUACCCUGGUAGUCCACGCCGUAAACGGUGGGCACUAGGUGUGGGGGACAUUCCACGUUCUCCGUGCCGAAGCUAACGCAUUAAGUGCCCCGCCUGGGGAGUACGG